rnacentral:rRNA from 1 species
GAUGAACGCUAGCUACAGGCUUAACACAUGCAAGUCGAGGGGAAACGGCAUCGAAAGCUUGCUUUUGAUGGGCGUCGACCGGCGCACGGGUGAGUAACGCGUAUCCAACCUGCCCAUCACUUGGGAAUAACCUUGCGAAAGUAGGACUAAUGCCCAAUGACAUCCCACGAAGGCAUCCGAAUGGGAUUAAAGAUUUAUCGGUGAUGGAUGGGGAUGCGUCUGAUUAGCUUGUUGGCGGGGUGACGGCCCACCAAGGCAACGAUCAGUAGGGGUUCUGAGAGGAAGGUCCCCCACAUUGGAACUGAGACACGGUCCAAACUCCUACGGGAGGCAGCAGUGAGGAAUAUUGGUCAAUGGGCGAGAGCCUGAACCAGCCAAGUAGCGUGCAGGAUGACGGCCCUAUGGGUUGUAAACUGCUUUUAUAAGGGAAUAAAGUGGGUCACGUGUGACUUUUUGCAUGUACCUUAUGAAUAAGAACCGGCUAAUUCCGUG